GAUGAACGCUGGCGGCGUGCCUAAUACAUGCAAGUCGAGCGAACGGACGAGAAGCUUGCUUCUCUGAUGUUAGCGGCGGACGGGUGAGUAACACGUGGAUAACCUACCUAUAAGACUGGGAUAACUUCGGGAAACCGGAGCUAAUACCGGAUAAUAUUUUGAACCGCAUGGUUCAAAAGUGAAAGACGGUCUUGCUGUCACUUAUAGAUGGAUCCGCGCUGCAUUAGCUAGUUGGUAAGGUAACGGCUUACCAAGGCAACGAUGCAUAGCCGACCUGAGAGGGUGAUCGGCCACACUGGAACUGAGACACGGUCCAGACUCCUACGGGAGGCAGCAGUAGGGAAGCUUCCGCAAUGGGCGAAAGCCUGACGGAGCAACGCCGCGUGAGUGAUGAAGGUCUGCGGAUCGUAAAACUCUGUUAUGAGGGAAGAACAUAUGUGUAAGUAACUGUGCACAUCUUGACGGUACCUAAUCAGAAAGCCACGGCUAACUACGUG
rnacentral:rRNA from 1 species